rnacentral:rRNA from 1 species
UACAGAGGGUGCGAGCGUUGUCCGGAAUCACUGGGCGUAAAGGGCGCGUAGGCGGCUUGAUAAGCGUGCGGUGAAAGCCCGGGGCUCAACCCCGGGUCGGCCGUGCGAACUGUCGAGCUGGAGCACUGUAGAGGCAGGCGGAAUUCCGGGUGUAGCGGUGGAAUGCGUAGAGAUCCGGAAGAACACCGGUGGCGAAGGCGGCCUGCUGGGCAGUGAGCUGACACUGAGGCGCGACAGCGUGGGGAGCAAACAGG